UACGUAGGGUCCAAGCGUUAUCCGGAUUUACUGGGUGUAAAGGGCGAGUAGACGGCAUAGCAAGUCAGAUGUGAAAACUUAGGGCUCAACCUUAAGCGUGCAUCUGAAACUGUUAAGCUAGAGUGCAGAAGAGGUAAGUGGAAUUCCUAGUGUAGCGGUAAAAUGCAUAGAUAUUAGGAGGAACACCAGUGGCGAAGGCGACUUACUGGGCUGUAACUGACGUUGAGGAGCGAAAGUGUGGGGAGCAAACAGG
rnacentral:rRNA from 1 species